AAGUGCUGUUACGGACUUGUGAAGUCAUGGGGUCCGGGUCGUUGUUCCUCGGCAUUAGGCGCUGGUAGCGUCCGCGUCGUUAGCAGAUCUGGUUCCCUUCGUCUCACUGGGGCAAGCUGGGGAUUACUUGGGGAGAGGUCCCGGUCUUGUGUGUUUCUGUGAAAGACGUAGAUACUCCUUCCCCGGAACGGGAGGGAGGCCCGGUCCUAGUGCCCGCUAGAUACCUGGGGCUGCGGGGAGGACCGAGGCUGUGGCCCCCGUUAAGCGUGACCUCGCUCCGCGAAGCGGCCGGUGGGCAGCUGAUGGCCGAACGCAUCCUGGGAAAGACUUUAGCCACAGUGUCCCUCUCUGUGGCCUUGGCCUCUGUGACUGUCCAGUCCUCAGGCUGUUGCAGCAUUCCGGCAUGCAGAAACACAUUUUCAUCCUGUGGGUUUCAUCUUAGCUCGAACAUCAUGUCUAGUUCUAAUGGCGCCAAAGGGAAUUCCCACAACAAAGCUCGGACAUCUCCUUACCCGGGUUCAAAAGUCCAACGCAGCCAGGUUCCUAAUGAGAAAGUAGGCUGGUUUGUUGAGUGGCAGGACUAUAAUCCUGUGGAAUACACUGCGGUCUCUGUCUUGGCAGGACCUCGGUGGGCAGAUCCUCAGAUCAGUGAAAGUAACUUCUCUCCCAAGUUUAAUGAAAAGGAUGGGCAUGUUGAGAGAAAGAGCCAGAAUGGUUUGUAUGAGAUUGAAAAUGGAAGACCCAGAAAUCCUGCAGGACGGACAGGACUGAUUGGCCGGGGGCUUUUGGGGCGAUGGGGCCCAAAUCAUGCUGCAGAUCCCAUCAUAACCAGAUCUGAAAAUGAAGACUCACUGAGGUUGAGUGACUCGCCUAAAUCUUGUAGGUGGAAAAGGGAUAGAAGUGGAAAUAAAGUCAGCCACCCCAUUUCUGGGAAAAACAUCUUACAGUUUGUGGCAAUAAGAAGGAAAGAUUGUGGAGAAUGGGCAAUCCCAGGGGGGAUGGUGGAUCCAGGAGAGAAGAUUAGUGCUACACUUAAAAGAGAGUUUGGUGAAGAAGCUCUCAACUCCUUACAGAAAUCCGGGGUGGAAAAGAGAGAAUUAGAGGAACAGUUGCACAAACUCUUCAGCCAGGAACAUCUAGUGAGGGUUGCGACCCCACAUGGGGAUGAGGCCUGGCCUUGUGGAAACUGAACUCAGCUUCACGGGGCUGACAGCUCUGGUCCAGGGUGGUGGCAGUGCUCCCCUUUGGACUUUUCCUCUAGGUUCCGUGCUAACUUCUGUGAUCUCACUCUGCCCCUCCUCCUCCUCUUAACUUUCUCGAGGUUAUCCAUCCGCUUAAAACAUUGCUUCUGGUAACCCGAGUGUUCAUUGUGGUGAUCAGAUGGCACCCAGGAGAAAUGGAGCCCCCUGUCCAGUGUGAGUCAUAGCAGUGCAGGAGGGGAGAUCCUGAAGGAGAGAGCCUGCCUAAAUUGCUGUCUGCAGAUGGAAUUUCCAGAGGCUUAGGAGGUGGAAGUUCUCCAGUGUCCGGUUUCCAGGCCUUGCUCAAGAAGUCCUGUAUUCAGGAGGCCUUUUAAGGUUUUCAGAUGAGCUUAUAUGGGGGCAGUCAUUAAGUCCAAAGCAGGUGCAUCGGGCCAUCCACAGAUGUGUGCUUCGAUUGUUCGAUCCAGGAGCACCGACCUCCAGGCACGUGAAUGCCAGCAGGCACCCUCCUUUUCUGGGGUGGAGGUUUUCAGAUGCUGCAUCUUCUAAAUUGAGCCUCCAGUCAUAACUGGUUCUGGGCUACGAACGUUGCUUCGAGAAGAUUCUUGAAGCUGUAGAACAUUCUAACAUGCCACAACGCAGAGGGAUGCCUUGUAGAUGAAUCUUGCAGAUGGAGCCCAGGGACCCUCCCACCCGUCUGCCCGCUGCCUGCCUGCCUCCCUGUGCAUUGGUUGGAGUUCAGUGUGAUUGUCUUAACCUGUAUUUUGGGAAAGUGUUCACAUUUGAAAUGCCUUAGGCAAUGCUUAAAUGAAGCAUACUGGCAAGUUGGGGGGUGGGGUCAUUGUGUUAUGCUACAGUCUUGGGUACAAGUCAGUUGUGGCUGUUAGAAAUGGCAGGUCUAGUUUGGGCAUUCCGGUUGCAUUGCAGAUCACGAAGCGAAGGGAAUAGUUGGGGUACUACUAGUGAUCUUUGAUUCUUCUGUGUAUCUUUUUAAUGUGAAUUUUGGUUUAUUUUCAAAGUAAUCUUCAAAUGGGAGGACCGUGAGGGGUGGAGGUGGGGCACACCUUGACAUUGGUACUGGGAGGGGUGGGGGUGAAGAAAGGGAGAGGGUUGGGUUGGUUAGGUAUAUGCUGCCAAGGGUGGGGGUGGCAGGGAAUGUGGGGUUGAAAGGAAUUCACUGGCAAAAAGGUCAGGUAGAGCUCUGGGGAAUGUGAUAGACAACAGGGCAAAGAAAAUACUAGUUAAUGCUAGCUAAGUUGACUUGGAAGCACAAAAAUGGCUUUGAAACUAAAAAAUCCUUUAGAGAUCUGCUGAAUGCCGGGAAAGAGGCAAAAUUGUUUUGCUUUGCGACAAGGUGGGGAAGACGGAGAAGCAGUAACUAGGAGUGAGAAGGGUAUGGAAAUGCAGAUCUGCUGAGUAACAGCCUUCCCGGCUUCCCUCACUGCUGCAGUGGCUUUAGUGAGGUGUGCAGUCAUUGUUGGGGAGCUGAAGUCUUAGGCUUUAAACUCCCCAGUUGUGAGUUCUUAAAGUACUUACAAGUAAAUUUAAAAUUUUGGUGUGCCCUUGAGAUUCAGAUGGACAAGAUCUUGCGGGUUUGUAACGUUUCUAUUUACUGAGAUUUUGUGAUGGAAAAUUCUGAGCAAAGUGAAAACGCAGUGACUUUUAAAAGGAACUUUGUUUUAUAAACAAAUCUCUCCUCUUCGUGGUCUGUAUUACCUGCAGUAAAAAUUGUUGCUGUUACCUUAGUUCUUGUAACAAAGUAACCUUUUGUGGUCCCUGUAACUGUAAUACUCAUAGCAAACAAUCCAUGUACCUUGCAAAGGUUAGAGUUAAUCGAUUGCAGCUUUAAUUUGAAUGUUUGUGCUGUUUAAAUUGAUCCAGUACUUGGCGGGGCAACUAUCAGUCAAAAUCAGUUUGGGGAAUAAGCAAAAUGGGAAGGGGCUAGGAGGCCUAUACUAGGUGUGGUCUGUUUUUAAAAAUUCAGAGAAAGAUCUGAGAGGCCGUUUAUGAUGAUUAUUUCUGAGAUGCAUCUAUGACAUGGUCAAGUAGUAAUACCAGUGGCUUUUAGUCCUGUGCGUAUUCCCCUUAAAUUUCACUGAAAAUUUAAACUCCUUGAUACUUAAGCUGCCUCUGGGAUUUCUGUCUUCUGGUCUCUUUUUGAAUGUUUAAAAAUUUGUUGGUAUAGUCCGGUUUUUGGUCGGUGACUUGGGUCCGAUGAAAUUGCUGUCCUGGUUAUUUAAAGAGUAUUCGUCAUGCCUGUAUGGGAAAUAUAUUCGGUUCGGGUGUAUGGGUGUGAAGUUGCACCUGUGUCAAGUACUUCUGUGUUGCUAAGAACUAGUCCUGUUGCAUCAUGUACGUGAUGACUAAUCAUUUUCUUCCCCACUUUACAGCUCAAAUAAAGGUUUGAGUUCUAAACUCGUAAAAAAAAAAUAAUAAUGAUAAUAAUAAUAAAAAUAAAAAAAUAAACACCCCUGACCUUGCACUGGGUUGCUACCCAAAUCUGUGUACCCUGAAUUGCAGUUCUUUGAUCCUAAAUAAAUGCUUAAUUAUUGCCUCCUGA